GUUUUCCUACGGGGGGCAGCAGUUGGGAAUAUUGCGCAAUGGAGGAAACUCUGACGCAGUGACGCCGCGUAUAGGAAGAAGGUUUUCGGAUUGUAAACUAUUGUCGUUAGGGAAGAUAAAAGACAGUACCUAAGGAGGAAGCUCCGGCUAACUACGUGCCAGCAGCCGCGGUAAUACGUAGGGAGCAAGCGUUAUCCGGAUUUAUUGGGUUUAAAGGGUGCGUAGGCGGAUUUUUAAGUCAGCGGUAAAAUGUCCGGGCUCAACCCGGGCCGGCCGUUGAAACUGGGGAUCUUGAGUGGGCGAGA
rnacentral:rRNA from 1 species